rnacentral:tRNA from 1 species
GCCCCUAUAGCUCAACUGGCAGAGCAACUGACUUUUAAUCAGUGGGUUGCAGGUUCAAAUCCUGCUGGGGGCAC